AACAUUUGGGGUUAAAAGAAUACAUAUAAAGAUCGCACAUAAUACAUGUUUCAUAGUGCUCCAUAUACAGGGAUAUGAUGAACUGAAGAUCAGCCAUUUGUCCCUGUUAGAGUUUAAACAAAGGUUCUCAGGCAUGAAUGGACACUGUUUUUAGGUUGUAAAAAGCCUGCCUGUGCUAUCUCCCCAAAUCAUAUCUCCUGGGGUUUGACACUUAUAAGAUAAGAGAAUGAAAAGCCUGGCACGGCAUGACACUAAACACAGUGUGGUCUCUGUGUUAUGAAACUAAAUGGGCUAUUCACAAAUCCCAGUGAAAUUAUAUAUCUUAAAUAGUAUUGUAUCUUUAUAAUGCCACAACGACAACAUGUAUAUCAGUAAUUCACAUAAUACUACUCGUUAAUACAUAGACACUACUGGGGUCCCAGGUAUAAGAUCCUAAAAUAACUUCAAAGUAUUAGACUGCCUUGAUCACAGCCCGACAUUAGUUUAAAGGAACUUUCCAAGGCAUGUGUGUUGAUCAUAAAACCUUAUCUCAAUCAUAACUUUAGAUGUUGCCAAGAUGGCUGACAACUGUUUGACAUAUAGGACAAUUUAUGAUGGUGCUACCCCAGAUAAAGUUAGAGAGGUCAUAAGUCAUGAUUAACUCUGCUUGACCUCAUCAUUAGGAAUAAUUCCUUAUACGCUACUGCCCCCUACAGGUUAAUAUCGGCAUUGGUUCAAUAUAGACUUAUCAAAACAUAUUAUCAUGUGACCUCACCAGUCAUGUGACAGUGAUGUGACACACCCAGUUCUUUGGGGAGAUAAAAAGGGAUUAUUCAGGACAGAGAGGGAGGCUGAUGGGAAGAAGCUUGAUGGGAGAGAGAGAGCUGAUCUCUGUAGAGCUGAUCUCUGGAAGCUGCUCUGAUCUGUGAAGGAAGCUGGAAAGCAGAGAGUGACCGCAAACAUGUAGAGGGUCUCAAGAGUCCUUCAUUAGGACUUUCCCUUCUCAAACAGAAAGAUCUCUUAUUACUGAAAAUGAUUGACAAUCCAGACCAGAUCGUUGAUUGGUAAAGGUGAAGUGAUCUACCAAAGACGCAACGAUCGCAUGGAUGAUGUUAAUCCUUGGCACCCCAUUCCGGAGGGAACCGUCACCAAACCACACUCCAGACCAGAUCGUUGAUUGGUAAAGGCGAAGUUAACCACCAAAAGAUACCGCGAUCGUCUGGAUGAUGUUAAUCCGUGAUGCCCAGUUAAGGAUGGAACCUGCCGCCACAUCGAAUCCUUCAUCAGGAGUCAUGAAGCGAGAUGCUCCAGGAUUCGUAUUGUCGGAAAGAAAGAUUUGUUGCAGAAGUCCCUUGUUCAUUUGAAUCCAAGAAUAUCCGUCGAAAGAAGGGAUAUUGAGUCCCAUUUACAGCUUGUAACCCUACAAGAACGGAUUCACUGAAGAGUUCUUCAAUUGCUGGUUUUCCAGUUUUGUUUUUAUUACAUUUGAAAUGGGGGGGUGACACCACCACUGCAACAGUUCAUUUUGUUUUUAUAAAGACUUGAACUCGUCAAGGAAGAUCCAAGUCAUACAAGAACACUCUUUAUCAUAUGGACGAAGAGAGGAACAUUUUUUUUUUUAGUAUAA